rnacentral:rRNA from 1 species
GACGAACGCUGGCGGCGGGCUUAACACAUGCAAGUCGAACGGAAAAGCCCUGCUUUUGUGGGGUGCUCGAGUGGCGAACGGGUGAGUAACACGUGAGUAACCUGCCCUGGACUUUGGGAUAACUUCAGGAAGCUGGGGCUAAUACCGGAUAGGAGCGCCUGCUGCAUGGUGGGGGUUGGAAAGUUUAGGUGGGUGGGGAUGGACUCGGGGCUUAUCAGCUUGUUGGUGGGGUAGUGGCUUACCACGGCUUUGACGGGUAGCCGGCAUGAGAGGGUGACCGGCCACCUUGCGCCUGAGGUACGGCCCAGACUACUACGGGAGGCAGCAGUGGGGAAUAUUGCACAAUGGGCGGACGCCUGAUGCAGCAACGCUGCGUGCGGGAUGACGGCCUUCGGGUUGUAAACCGCUUUCGCCUGUGACGAAGCGUGAGUGACGGUACUGGGUAAAGAAGCACCGGCUAACUACGUG